UAGAUCUGAGACCGUUCCCAAAAUUUUCUAAUUUGCUUAAAUAAACAUUCCUCCCUCAUGCUCUCUCUCUCUCAUUUUACACCACUACCCCUUCAUUGACGCCGCUCGCGUAAUUUUCCCAUUCAAUCUAUGCAUUUUUCUUUCUUUGCCUUUCUCUCAAAAUCCUCAUGCUUUGUCGCCAAUCUCUCGGUCCAUCCCUUUCUCCCUCCAUCUUUGAUCAACCUCCCUUUUUUUUUUCUGCUCUCUUUGAUCUACCCGGCUUGUUCCCCACCCAGUCAUUUCCUUACGUGUUCACGUUUGCCAUCAGUGCCAUUGACGAGCAGCUGGCUGCUGGUCUUGCAACCCAAGAAGGUUAACCGCUUCACCUCGACUCUGUCGACAUCAAAACUAAUGGGUUCCUAGUUUCUCCACACUAUAUUUCGUACUCAUCCACACCACGCUAAAGCUCAUCUAGAUUGGCAAAGAUCAUGGCAACACCUCGGUUCUGCGAUUCCUUUAUAUGUGGUUCAUGUCUACCAGCUGAAGAAAUCUAUUUAGAAGAUGUUCCUAAACCCCAGCUUUGGAAUCCAGCUAGUGCCUCAGAUGAUGGAUCGAUUGAUGAGAAGGGGAAAUGACUGGUGGGGAUUUAUGUGGUUAUGAAGGGAAAGAUGGAUCAUGAUGCAUUUUUGACUCAGCAUUGGGAGAUUCUAUGGUCUAGGGCUUGGGAAAGCAAGAGCGAUGGUGAGGAUGGGCAUAUGCUAGCUUGUGCAAGAGCUCAUCACGUUUUUCUGUAUCUCAAAUUAGUAUGGUAUGGGUUUUCAUUUACAAUGCCUCAACAGUAAAUGAAGCAAAUUUUGGAAGUGUGAACUAUUUGUUUUAUCUAUUUUUUAAUCCUUCGAUUAUUUAUCGAAGGUACUGCUGUCACUCAAAAACUCAUUUCAUAUUGUACUACUAACAAAGGCCUAACUAUACAUGCAUGGAACACAACAAUAUUGGAUAAUGUUUGUGAAAAUUAGUCAUGUUUUAGGAGGGGCUAGAAUUGCUAUUUUUUUUACAUCAUGUAUUUGAUGCUUAUUUAUAUAUAUCUAUAUAUCUAAAUAUAUCUAUUAUAUAUAUAUAGUUAUUGAGGAAGAACUUGAGUAAUGUAUAGUUGUACUUUCAGUCCCUUCAUUUUUCACUGAUUAUAAAUAAAAUUUGUAAAUGAAGCUUCAUUCUGCAAUGUUCUAUUCAUGAUGUGAGUUUGGUGUUGGUGAAACAUCAUGACUCUUUUCACCACACUCGAGUGUCCAUCAAUUGGUGGCCUCAAACAAUGGAAGCCCUGCAAUGUGGCUUUCUUAUAGAGAGGUGAGCAAAGGUUAUGCUUUAAUAACCUUUUUGCUUUGCCUUUUAAAAGCAACACUGCAAUAUUUAAAAGCAUGAAUUACUUCUCUCCUGCUGAGAAUCAUAUUUACUUUUUGUGAUCAUUGAAAGGAGUCCUCUUGUUUGCAAUCCUAUUUACUUUUUUGUGAUCAGUGCCAGAACACGGCCAUGUGGGCGAACAAGGAUUCUCUUCUUCAUGAAUGAAUAGUGCUUAGGAAUACAAAGAAUGGCCAGCAUCGUCUUCCUCAUUGCUGACAAAAGAAAGGCCAGUUUCAAGUGUCAUGUAUUCUAUCCCUGAAUCAGGUCUUCCACUAGAGAACAAGAUCUAUCAUUCUAGUUACAUUAUAAACAAGAAAAAAUUGCAGGGCAACAAAGAGAGUUAACCAGAUGAACCAACAGUCUAGAAAUGUCUUCAAGUUUAACAUGCAGAGAGGCAUUUUAUUUCUGUUUGGGGCUGUGUCUACUCAGUUGAUGGUGCUUACUUGAUUACAGGUUGCUGUCAUUGAUCAUCAUAAAUCAGCUCUAGUGAAGGUUGACAAGGAAAUUGACAUUUUUAUCUAGAUGCCAACAAGAGCAUUGUAGUUGCUUCAUAUGACUACUUCAUCAAUCAGCUCAACAGAAAUUUAGCAAGGCUUGUGUUUGCACAAAUGUACAAUCAAUUUGCCUUUCUUCAGUUUAUGAAAGAUUGUACAUUAACAAUGAUUUGUUCCGUAAUGAUGAUUCUAUUCUUAGUUUGUAUAGUUAUGAAAGAAAAACAUAUUGUCAA